AUUGAACGCUGGCGGAAGGAAGAACACAUGCAAGUCGAGCGGAUGAAGGGAGCUUGCUCCUGGAUUCAGCGGCGGACGGGUGAGUAAUGCCUAGGAAUCUGCCUGGUAGUGGGGGAUAACGUCCGGAAACGGGCGCUAAUACCGCAUACGUCCUGAGGGAGAAAGUGGGGGAUCUUCGGACCUCACGCUAUCAGAUGAGCCUAGGUCGGAUUAGCUAGUUGGUGGGGUAAAGGCCUACCAAGGCGACGAUCCGUAACUGGUCUGAGAGGAUGAUCAGUCACACUGGAACUGAGACACGGUCCAGACUCCUACGGGAGGCAGCAGUGGGGAAUAUUGGACAAUGGGCGAAAGCCUGAUCCAGCCAUGCCGCGUGUGUGAAGAAGGUCUUCGGAUUGUAAAGCACUUUAAGUUGGGAGGAAGGGCAGUAAGUUAAUACCUUGCUGUUUUGACGUUACCAACAGAAUAAGCACCGGCUAACUUCGUG
rnacentral:rRNA from 1 species